CGGAAUGGUCCAGAGUGACUUGCGAGGGCCUUCAAAAGCUUGGUGGCGUACUGCUGCCAUCAUCCAUGAGUUAGAAAAGAGUUACUAAUGGAAAUAAUGUCUGGCACAACACUGUCGAAAACAUGAGGCAAGAAUGCGUUGAAGCAUGAAUUGACCUAGCGAUGUGAACCUUAGGCAAAAUUUCAUAUAAUACAAGAGCUUCUUGGUAAAUUGCAUGCAACUGUUACUAAUAGUCAGAGAAGUGAAGAUUUCCGGUCUCUUUUGUGGGAGCUAAAUGAGGAGAGGCAGAAGGCAUGAUGUGCAAUGAAAAACAUGUUUAAUAGAUCUUUCAGAGCCACUUUCCUCACUGACACAGGUCAAGAAUCUGCUUUUGCUUAUAACAUCCAUCAAUAUGCUGAUGUGUAUACCAGUAAGGCAGAGAAUUUUCUGUUUUAUCCACCCGAGGCAUGGCUUCAUGUACCUUUUGAUAUAAAGAUAAUGCCGCAUCACUUGAAGGUUCCGUCAAGAUUGUUCAAGACUCAGUAGCUAUUAGUCGACCAUAUAGUUGAUGACUUGGGCAGAGCUAUGCAUAGAGUAGUGGGUUCAAUUGAACCCACUGAACUUUGAUUUUUCUAUAUUUAAUAACUAGGAAUAAAGAGAGGGAUUUUAAUAAUACAGUAUUGGGAUUAAUGAAUUAUUAGUAAUACUGAGAUUAAGGGUUGGGAUUACUUAUGUUAUGAGGUUCAUUUGUAUUAUGUUUGGUUAUUGUAUAAUGUAUAACUUGAAAUAAGAGAGUAAUUAUUUAUAAUCA